rnacentral:rRNA from 2 species
AGCAUUAUACCGUGAAACUGCGAAUGGCUCAUUAAAUCAGUUAUCGUUUAUUUGAUAGUACCUUACUACUUGGAUAACCGUGGUAAUUCUAGAGCUAAUACAUGCUGAAAACCCCGACUUCGGAAGGGGUGUAUUUAUUAGAUAAAAAACCAAUGCCCUUCGGGGCUCCUUGGUGAUUCAUAAUAACUUCUCAGAUCGCAUGGCCUUGCGCCGGCGACGGUUCAUUCAAAUUUCUGCCCUAUCAACUUUCGAUGGUAAGGUAUUGGCUUACCAUGGUUUCAACGGGUAACGGGGAAUUAGGGUUCGAUUCCGGAGAGGGAGCCUGAGAAACGGCUACCACAUCCAAGGAAGGCAGCAGGCGCGCAAAUUACCCAAUCCCGACACGGGGAGGUAGUGACAAUAAAUACUGAUACAGGGCUCUUUUGGGUCUUGUAAUUGGAAUGAGUACAAUUUAAACCUCUUAACGAGGAACAAUUGGAGGGCAAGUCUGGUGCCAGCAGCCGCGGUAAUUCCAGCUCCAAUAGCGUAUAUUAAAGUUGUUGCAGUUAAAAAGCUCGUAGUUGAACCUUUGGCCUGGCUGGCAGGUCCGCCUCACCGCGUGCACUUGUCCGGCCGGGCCUUCUCUUCUGGAGAACCGCAUGCCCUUCACUGGGUGUGUUGGGGACCAGGACUUUUACUUUGAAAAAAUUAGAGUGUUCAAAGCAGGCCUUUGCUCGAAUACGUUAGCAUGGAAUAAUAGAAUAGGACGUGCGGUCCUAUUUUUGUUGGUUUCUAGGACCGCCGUAAUGAUUAAUAGGGACAGUCGGGGGCAUCAGUAUUCAAUUGUCAGAGGUGAAAUUCUUGGAUUUAUUGAAGACUAACUACUGCGAAAGCAUUUGCCAAGGAUGUUUUCAUUAAUCAGUGAACGAAAGUUAGGGGAUCGAAGACGAUCAGAUACCGUCGUAGUCUUAACCAUAAACUAUGCCGACUAGGGAUCGGGCGGUGUUAUUAUUUUGACUCGCUCGGCACCUUACGAGAAAUCAAAGUGU